rnacentral:rRNA from 1 species
GGAAGUAAAAGUCGUAACAAGGUCUCCGUUGGUGAACCAGCGGAGGGAUCAUUACUGAGUUUACGCUCUAUAACCCUUUGUGAACAUACCUAUAACUGUUGCUUCGGCGGGUAGGGUCUCCGUGACCCUCCCGGCCUCCCGCCCCCGGGCGGGUCGGCGCCCGCCGGAGGAUAACCAAACUCUGAUUUAACGACGUUUCUUCUGAGUGGUACAAGCAAAUAAUCAAAACUUUUAACAACGGAUCUCUUGGUUCUGGCAUCGAUGAAGAACGCAGCGAAAUGCGAUAAGUAAUGUGAAUUGCAGAAUUCAGUGAAUCAUCGAAUCUUUGAACGCACAUUGCGCCCGCCAGCAUACUGGCGGGCAUGCCUGUUCGAGCGUCAUUUCAACCCUCAAGCUCUGCUUGGUGUUGGGGCCCUACAGCUGAUGUAGGCCCUCAAAGGUAGUGGCGGACCCUCCCGGAGCCUCCUUUGCGUAGUAACUUUACGUCUCGCACUGGGAUCCGGAGGGACUCUUGCCGUAAAACCCCCAAUUUUCCAAAGGUUGACCUCGGAUCAGGUAGGAAUACCCGCUGAACUUAAGCAUAUCAAUA